CAAUAGCGUAUAUUAAAGUUGUUGCAGUUAAAAAGCUCGUAGUUGGAUUUGUGGUGUACUUUGGCGGCCCGUCACUAUGUGAUGGAGCUUGCUGAAGUCGCCAUCCUUGGGUGGAUCCUGUGUGGCAUUAAGUUGUCGUGCAGGGGAUGCCCAUCGUUUACUGUGAAAAAAUUAGAGUGUUCAAAGCAGGCUUAUGCCGUUGAAUAUACUAGCAUGGAAUAAUAAGAUAGGACCUUGGUACUAUUUUGUUGGUUUGCGCACCAAGGUAAUGAUUAAUAGGGACAGUUGGGGGUAUUCGUAUUUCAUUGUCAGAGGUGAAAUUCUUGGAUUUUUGAAAGACAAACUACUGCGAAAGCAUUUACCAAGGAUGUUUNCAUUA
rnacentral:rRNA from 1 species